rnacentral:piRNA from 1 species
UAGGAGACAGUGGAGCCCCGAGUGGCUCAGU